UACGUAGGGUGCGAGCGUUGUCCGGAAUUACUGGGCGUAAAGAGCUCGUAGGUGGUUUGUCGCGUUGUUCGUGAAAACCGGGGGCUUAACCCUCGGCGUGCGGGCGAUACGGGCAGACGUUGAGUACUGCAGGGGAGGACUGGAAUUCCUGGUGUAGCGGUGGAAUGCGCAGAUAUCGGGAGGAACACCGGUGGCGAAGGCGGGUUCUCUGGGCCUGUACUGACGCUGAGGAGCGAAAGCGUGGGGAGCGAACAGGG
rnacentral:rRNA from 1 species